CGUGUAGGCGGUUGGUCAAGUCGGGUGUGAAAGCCUGGGGCUCAGCCCCAGAAGUGCAUCCGAAGCUAGCCAGCUAGAGCGCGAUAGAGGAGGGUGGAAUUCCUGGUGUAGCGGUGAAAUGCGUAGAUAUCAGGAGGAACACCGGCGGCGAAGGCGGCCCUCUGGAUCGUUGCUGACGCUGAGACGCGAAAGCGUGGGGAGCAAACAGGAUUAGAUACCCUGGUAGUCCACGCCUUAAACGAUGGGUACUAGGUGUUCGGGGUGUUGACCCCCUGAGUGCCGCAGUUAACGCAUUAAGUACCCCGCCUGGGGACUACGGCCGCAAGGUUAAA
rnacentral:rRNA from 1 species